rnacentral:lncRNA from 1 species
UGUCACGCCCCUCAAAUAUAUCCAUGAUUUUAAAACAAUUUUCAUCACAGACCAAUCCAGGAUCCAAACUAACAUUUGAGGACACUGAAAAACAUUCUAUUCAUAUUCACAUCUAUAAAACCUGUGCAGUUUAAAAUCAUAUAUCACAUCACUCGAUAAUUCACAUUUAUGGCAACCCAAGCCAACUUGACAAAAAUGAACAACAUUUAUAAAUCCACAAGCUAAAUAAAUUAUACAAUCAGAACUCCAACUAUUCACCACAAGUUCAUAUCAUCAUAAAUUAGACUUAACAUUCAGAAAUUCCAAAUAAGAGAGAUCUCCUAACACUUUGACACAGUAUAUCCAUUUCAG